GUCUACGACCAUGCCACCCUGAAUAAGCCCGAUGUCUGAUCUCAAAGGCUAAGCAGGUUCGGGCCUGGUUAGUACUUGGAUGGGAGACCACCUAGGAAGACCAGGUGCUGUAGGCA
rnacentral:rRNA from 1 species